rnacentral:rRNA from 1 species
UACGAAGGGGGCUAGCGUUACUCGGAUUGACUGGGCGUAAAGGGCGCGUAGGCGGAUGGUACAGUCAGACGUGAAAUUCCUGGGCUCAACCUGGGGGCUGCGUUUGAUACGUGCUGUCUGGAGUUCGGAAGAGGGUCGUGGAAUUCCCAGUGUAGAGGUGAAAUUCGUAGAUAUUGGGAAGAACACCGGUGGCGAAGGCGGCGACCUGGUCCGAUACUGACGCUGAGGCGCGAAAGCGUGGGGAGCAAACAGGAUUAGAUGCCCUGGUAGUCCACGCCGUAAACGAUGUGUGCUGGAUGUUGGGUGACAUAGUCAUUCAGUGUCGUAGCUAACGCGAUAAGCACACCGCCUGGGGAGUACGGCCGCAAGGUUGAA